GAUGAAGAACGGCAGCGAAAUGCGAUACGUAAUGUGAAUUGCAGAAUUCAGUGAAUCAUCGAGUCUUUGAACGCACAUUGCGCCCCCUGGUAUUCCGGGGGGCAUGCCUGUCCGAGCGUCAUUGCUGCCCUCAAGCACGGCUUGUGUGUUGGGCCUCCGUCCUCCUCCCGGGGGACGGGCCCGAAAGGCAGCGGCGGCACCGCGUCCGGUCCUCGAGCGUAUGGGGCUUCGUCACCCGCUCUUGUAGGCCCGGCCGGCGCUCGCCGACACAUCAAUCUUUUUUCCAGGUUGACCUCGGAUCAGGUAGGGAUACCCGCUGAACUUAAGCAUAUCAAUAAGCGGAGGA
rnacentral:misc_RNA from 1 species